AAGUCGUAACAAGGUUUCCGUAGGUGAACCUGCGGAAGGAUCAUUAUAAAAUUUUUCUACAUAUUUUUAAAAUAUGUACAAAACUUUUGUAUUCAAAACCACACUCUUUAAAACCAUAUAUAAAAAAAAAUUUGUUCAUAUACAUAAUUUUUUUUUAAAUAUAUUAUUUAUAUAAAUAAAUAAUAAAAUGACAACUUUCAACAACGGAUCUCUUGGCUCUCGUAUCGAU
rnacentral:misc_RNA from 1 species